AGUGAACGCUGGCGGUAGGCCUAACACAUGCAAGUCGAACGGCAGCACAGUAAGAGCUUGCUCUUACGGGUGGCGAGUGGCGGACGGGUGAGGAAUACAUCGGAAUCUACUUUUUCGUGGGGGAUAACGUAGGGAAACUUACGCUAAUACCGCAUACGACCUACGGGUGAAAGCAGGGGAUCUUCGGACCUUGCGCGAUUGUAUGAGCCGAUGUCGGAUUAGCUAGUUGGCGGGGUAAAGGCCCACCAAGGCGACGAUCCGUAGCUGGUCUGAGAGGAUGAUCAGCCACACUGGAACUGAGACACGGUCCAGACUCCUACGGGAGGCAGCAGUGGGGAAUAUUGGACAAUGGGCGCAAGCCUAAUCCAGCCAUACCGCGUGGGUGAAGAAGGCCUUCGGGUUGUAAAGCCCUUUUGUUGGGAAAGAAAAGCAGCAGGUUAAUACCCCGCUGUUCUGACGGUACCCAAAGAAUAAGCACCGGCUAACUUCGUG
rnacentral:rRNA from 1 species